UACGUAGGGUGCGAGCGUUGUCCGGAUUUAUUGGGCGUAAAGAGCUCGUAGGCGGUCUGUCGCGUCGGAUGUGAAAACCCAGGGCUCAACCCUGGGCCUGCAUUCGAUGCGGGCAGACUAGAGUACGGCAGGGGAGACUGGAAUUCCUGGUGUAGCGGUGAAAUGCGCAGAUAUCAGGAGGAACACCGAUGGCGAAGGCAGAUCUCUGGGCCGUUACUGACGCUGGAGGAGCGAAAGCGUGGGGAGCGAACAGG
rnacentral:rRNA from 1 species